rnacentral:lncRNA from 1 species
CUUAAGUUCUCUCCUUCCCCACAAAUCUCCAAAAAGGAGAAUGAAAUGAAAAGAAAAUGAUACGAAAAGAAAAAAAAAUGAUCAAUCUUUGUGAGAAAAGUCUUACCUUUUAAUUUUUCCAUUUUUUUCUUUGUUUUCAUUGAUUUUUCCUAUGAUUUCCCUGGCAUUUUCCUCCAUUUUUUAGGUCCUUAGAAGUCUCAAUAGGGUG